rnacentral:rRNA from 1 species
AGUCGAACGAAGUAGCAAUACUUAGUGGCAGACGGGUGAGUAACAUGUAGGUAUCUUCCCUUUGGCCUGGAAUAACACGAGGAAACUUGUGCUAAUACCGGAUAAGUCUUUACAGAGAAAGCUUUAUGCACCAUUGGAUGAGCCUGCACUUGAUUAGUUUGUUGGUGGGGUAACGGCCUACCAAGACUGUGAUCAAUAGCUGAUUUGAGAGGAUGAUCAGCCACAUUGGGACUGAGACACGGCCCAAACUCCUACGGGAGGCAGCAGUGGGGAAUCUUGCACAAUGGAGGAAACUCUGAUGCAGCGAUGCCGCGUGAGUGAAGAAGGCCCUUGGGUUGUAAAGCUCUUUCGUCGGGGAAGAAAAUGACUGUACCCGAAUAAGAAGGUCCGGCUAACUUCGUGCCAGCAGCCGCGGUAAUACGAAGGGACCUAGCGUAGUUCGGAAUUACUGGGCUUAAAGAGUUCGUAGGUGGUUGAAAAAGUUGGUGGUGAAAUCCCAGAGCUUAACUCUGG